rnacentral:lncRNA from 1 species
AUAUUUUUUUUAGUUAAAUUCUCUAACUCUCAUAUUACAGAACAUGGAUUGACAAAUUAUUUGUAGAAUUGCAUUACUUUCACAUCUACCCUUGAUAUAUUAAUUUAUUUAUAUUGAAUUUUAUUUACACUAAAAUUGAAAAGGUCAAUAGUUAUAACAUUAUUGUAGGAUUUCCCUCAGUCUAUUAAACAAAGCCCAUCCCCGCAAAAUACAAAGCUCUGUUGCACCCAGAUUUUGCAAGCAUAAAUUUCAGAUUUGUUUGCCAAGCUGAUAUUCCUUUUGGGUAAGGGAUCUGAAACAGAGACUGCAUUCUUGUGUUGCUGC